rnacentral:lncRNA from 1 species
UUUCUAUCCAAUUGAUUUCUCAGUAUCCAUUCCAAUACUCCCUCUUCUCUCUCACGCCUACUCCCUCACACUCUAACCAUUCUCUUCAAUUCAAGCUUUGAACUAAGGAAAGGAAGCAUGGAUUCUUACAUGCAAUCAUGGUAGCAACUUCUCUAGCCAUAAGUAAACAAGGUAACAGACUUACCUUUUCCUUUUCUUUAACAUAAUCCUUGUAAUUUCCCAUUUUAAUUAUUCAACCAAAAUCUGAUGAGUACUCCCUUCCUUUUGAAUUGAGAGCUUGUAUGUGAGUUAUAGUAGCCAAGGAGUCAUGGGUUCAUGUUUGAAGCUUGAAGUUUUGAGUGGUGACUUUUGAAAGAGAUUGUGUUGAAUUUCGUUUUUGGAUAUACUUUCAGAAAAACAGUAAGUACUCCUUCCCUGUAACUCCAAUCGAGUUAAUUCUUUAAGUUCUGUAAAGCUAACGAAUUUACCCUCGUUGGCAUAUCAAAUUUUAUCGGAUUCGGAGUUACAAUGCAUUAUGUAGGUGAUGCUAAAGUUGAAGAUACGAAACAGGAUUUCUGCAGAAAAUGUGUUUGGACAGUGCUGCACUUAAAGGUUAACUGCGCCCUCUCUAUAACUCGGUUUGACAUUCCAUUUGCUUCUAUGGAUAGCUAACUCGAUUACGGUUGGUAUGGUUCCGGUUUUGUGAAUUUUCAAUAAGGGAUGAGGUCUGUAUGAAUUUUUGAAGUUGAUACUCCGAUGCAGAAUUCUGCAGAAAGGUAUGGGUACGGGUUUGAAGCAUUUCGAUUGAAAUUAUGCAUAUCGGCGAGCUCUGGAAAUGACAAUGGUAUUGUUCAAGCGUAUUUGCAGGUGGGUUCCCUUAGAGCCUUAAACUCUAGUUAGUUUUAACUCUAUUAGUUUCCCCAAAUUAUGAAUCUUGCAUGAUAACAUAAGCAUUAGGGUGAAUUGUGUAUGAGAGGAGCUUAAUCCCAAAGCUUCUCUUCGUUUUAAUUAUGUGAAAUAUGUUGUAAUGUUCAUGGCUAAUAAGUAAAGGGAUUGUGAUAAUGAUUUUCUGCAAAACGGAUGGAAAUUGUAAAAACAGAGUAAUGAACUGAUAGCCUCGCUAAGCGAAAUGGUACUUGCUAGGCGAGAAUAUCAGCUCAGUACUAUGUAGAAUUUAAAAUUAUGAACAAACUCACGUUUUUGAAUCCCCUACCUUUUUAGUACAUUUUCUGUGAAUAAUACAAGUAUAAUAAUUAAUUAAAAUGUUAAGUACACGUUAAGUUAAGAUAAUCAGGAUAUCAGGACAAGUUAGCUACUCCAGGGAGGGAAAUUCAUGGGUAGGAUANNN